GAUGAACGCUAGCUACAGGCUUAACACAUGCAAGUCGAGGGGUAACGAGAGGAAAGCUUGCUUUCCUUGUCGACGACCGGCGCACGGGUGAGUAACGCGUAUCCAACCUGCCCCCAACUAGGGAAUAACCUUGCGAAAGUAAGACUAAUACCCUAUAAUUUCCUCAGAUGACAUCUGACGAGGAAUAAAGAUUUAUCGGUUGUGGAUGGGGAUGCGUCUGAUUAGCUUGUUGGCGGGGUAACGGCCCACCAAGGCAACGAUCAGUAGGGGUUCUGAGAGGAAGGUCCCCCACAUUGGAACUGAGACACGGUCCAAACUCCUACGGGAGGCAGCAGUGAGGAAUAUUGGUCAAUGGGCGGAAGCCUGAACCCGCCAAGUAGCGUGCAGGAUGACGGCCCUAUGGGUUGUAAACUGCUUUUAUACAGGAAUAAAGUUAGCCACGUGUGGUUAUUUGUAGGUACUGUAUGAAUAAGGACCGGCUAAUUCCGUGCCAGCCGCCGCCGCGG
rnacentral:rRNA from 1 species